rnacentral:rRNA from 1 species
UAGGGAAUCUUCGGCAAUGGGGGCAACCCUGACCGAGCAACGCCGCGUGAGUGAAGAAGGUUUUCGGAUCGUAAAGCUCUGUUGUAAGAGAAGAACGAGUGUGAGAGUGGAAAGUUCACACUGUGACGGUAACUUACCAGAAAGGGACGGCUAACUACGUGCCAGCAGCCGCGGUAAUACGUAGGUCCCGAGCGUUAUCCGGAUUUAUUGGGCGUAAAGCGAGCGCAGGCGGUUAGAUAAGUCUGAAGUUAAAGGCUGUGGCUUAACCAUAGUACGCUUUGGAAACUGUUUAACUUGAGUGCAGAAGGGGAGAGUGGAAUUCCAUGUGUAGCGGUGAAAUGCGUAGAUAUAUGGAGGAACACCGGUGGCGAAAGCGGCUCUCUGGUCUGUAACUGACGCUGAGGCUCGAAAGCGUGGGGAGCGAACAGGAUUAGAUACCCUGGUAGUCCACGCCGUAAACGAUGAGUGCUAGGUGUUAGGUCCUUUCCGGGACUUAGUGCCGCAGCUAACGCAUUAAGUACUCCGCCUGGGGAGUACGACCGCAAGGUUG